rnacentral:rRNA from 1 species
CGGAACGUACCCUGGAGUGGGGGAUAACGUAGCGAAAGUUACGCUAAUACCGCAUACGAUCCAUGGAUGAAAGUGGGGGAUUCGCAAGAACCUCAUGCUCCUGGAGCGGCCGAUAUCUGAUUAGCUAGUUGGUGGGGUAAAGGCCUACCAAGGCAUCGAUCAGUAGCUGGUCUGAGAGGACGACCAGCCACACUGGAACUGAGACACGGUCCAGACUCCUACGGGAGGCAGCAGUGGGGAAUUUUGGACAAUGGGCGCAAGCCUGAUCCAGCAAUGCCGCGUGAGUGAAGAAGGCCUUCGGGUUGUAAAGCUCUUUUGUCAGGGAAGAAACGGGGUUGGCUAAUAUCUGGCCCUAAUGACGGUACCUGAAGAAUAAGCACCGGCUAACUACGUGCCAGCAGCCGCGGUAAUACGUAGGGUGCAAGCGUUAAUCGGAAUUACUGGGCGUAAAGCGUGCGCAGGCGGUUUUGUAAGACUGACGUGAAAUCCCCGGGCUCAACCUGGGAAUGGCGUUGGUGACUGCAAGGCUAGAGUUUGGCAGAGGGGGGUAGAAUUCCACGU